GCCGGAGUAGCUCAGUCGGUUAGAGCAGCUGUUUUGUAAACAGCAGGUCGGGGGUUCGAUUCCCUUCUCCGGCU
rnacentral:tRNA from 1 species